rnacentral:tRNA from 5 species
GGUUCCGUGGUGUAGCGGUUAUCACAUCUGCUUUACACGCAGAAGGUCGCCAGUUCGAUCCUGGCCGGAAUCA